ACGGAGGGUCCGAGCGUUAUCCGGAAUCAUUGGGUUUAAAGGGUCCGUAGGCGGGUAGUUAAGUCAGUGGUGAAAGUCUGCAGCUCAACUGUAGAAUUGCCAUUGAUACUGAUUAUCUUGAAUUAAUGUGAAGUGGUUAGAAUAAGUAGUGUAGCGGUGAAAUGCAUAGAUAUUACUUAGAAUACCAAUUGCGAAGGCAGAUCACUAACAUUAUAUUGACGCUGAUGGACGAAAGCGUGGGGAGCGAACAGG
rnacentral:rRNA from 1 species